UACGUAGGGGGCAAGCGUUGUUCGGAAUUACUGGGCGUAAAGGGCGCGUAGGCGGCACGGCAAGUCAGGAGUGAAAGGCCUGGGCUCAACCGAGGAACUGCUUUUGAGACUGCCGAGCUAGAGUGCAGAAAGGGCAACUGGAAUUCCCAGUGUAGCGGUGAAAUGCGUAGAUAUUGGGAAGAACACCUGAGGCGAAGGCGGGUUGCUGGGCUGACACUGACGCUGAGGCGCGAAAGCCAGGGGAGCAAACAGG
rnacentral:rRNA from 1 species